AUUUUUUUUGAGACUAUGGAGGAUAGCUGGACCUUGGUCUGCCUGGGGGAUCUGGGGCCAUGGCCUUGUAUUCAAAGGAAAGGUGAAAAAUGAGGAAGUCUGGGAACCACUGAAGAAGGCAGCUGUGAGGGACGGAAGUAAUCAUCAGAACGUGCCAGAGAACGAUAUUGGCAGUACAGACUCAGGAUGGCGAAGAACAUGUUUGACAUCAGAGUACUCGGGUACUAUGGUCCUUUGGUAAUGACAAUAUUGUUUAGGUUUUGCUUUUGAUAGUGAAGCAGUAUUGAAGCACAUCACCAUCAGAUAUUUGUAGCAGGUGUUUCAUACACGGGACACUCAGGAAACAAAUUAACUUAAAGUAAUAAAGAAGUCACUACUGAAUUGUUUCCUUUCUUAUUAGUGUCUUUUUUGUACCAGAUUAUAGGGAGUUGUCAAUGAGUAUUGAUUAAUUAUUGAUCAUUUUUACAGAUAAAAUCUUUAACUAUACCCAUCAGUAAUGAGAAACUUUUCAGUAAAAUUAAAACAAUUCAGUAAAAUUUACAUGAUUUAUGUAUUGAUGUGUUGAAUUGUCUGGGCUCAUGACUUGGUAACACUUUGCAUGGUUAAAGAAUAAGUGUAAUGUUCAAAAUGUAUUGGCUUAGUGUUGUAGAAAUAACACUGAAUAAAUGCUGAUUAAUAAAUGAAUGCACUGUUUUUGCUCAUUUAAUGUUUAG